rnacentral:rRNA from 1 species
CCUACGGGAGGCAGCAGUGAGGAAUAUUGGUCAAUGGGCGCUAGCCUGAACCAGUCAAGUAGCGUGAAGGAUGACUGCCCUAUGGGUUGUAAACUUCUUUUAUAUGGGAAUAACGUGCAGUAUGUAUACUGCUUCGCAUGUUCCUUAUGAAUAAGGAUUGGCUAACUCCGUGCCAGCAGCCGCGGUAAUACGGAGGGUCCGAGCGUUAUCCGGAUUUAUUGGGUUUAAAGGGAGCGUAAGCGGGUUGUUAAGUUCGUUGUGAAAGUUUGCGGCUCAACCGUAAAACUGCAGUUGAUACUGGCAUCCUUGAGUAGAAUAGAGGUAGGCGGAAUUCGUGGUGUAGCGGUGAAAUGCUUAGAUAUCACGAAGAACUCCGAUUGCGAAGGCAGCCUGCUGGACUGUAACUGACGCUGAUGCUCGAAAGUGUGGGUAUCGAACAGGAUUAGAUACCCUGGUAGUC